GCCGGGCACGGUGGUGCAUGCCUAUAGUCCCAGCUACUCGGGAGGCUGAGGCUGGAGGAUCGCUUGAGUCCAGGAGUUCUGGGCUGUAGUGCGCUAUGCCGACCAGGUGUCCACACUAAGUUCGGCAUCAAUACGGUGACCUCCCGGGAGCGGGGACCACCAGGUUGCCUAGGGAGGGGUGAACCGGCCCAGGCCAGAAACGGAGCAGGUAAAAACUCCCAUGCUGAUCAGUAGUGGGAUCGCACCUGUGAAUAGCCACUGCUCUCCAGCCUGGGCAACAUAGCAAGACCCUGUCUCU
rnacentral:SRP_RNA from 1 species